rnacentral:rRNA from 1 species
GGUGAGUAACACGUGGAUAACCUACCUAUAAGACUGGGAUAACUUCGGGAAACCGGAGCUAAUACCGGAUAAUAUAUUGAACCGCAUGGUUCAAUAGUGAAAGACGGUUUUGCUGUCACUUAUAGAUGGAUCCGCGCCGCAUUAGCUAGUUGGUAAGGUGACGGCUUACCAAGGCGACGAUGCGUAGCCGACCUGAGAGGGUGAUCGGCCACACUGGAACUGAGACACGGUCCAG